UACAGAGGUCUCAAGCGUUGUUCGGAUUCAUUGGGCGUAAAGGGUGCGUAGGCGGCGCGUAAGUCGGGUGUGAAAUCUCGGAGCUUAACUCCGAAACUGCAUUCGAUACUGCCGUGCUUGAGGACUGGAGAGGAGACUGGAAUUUACGGUGUAGCGGUGAAAUGCGUAGAUAUCGUAAGGAAGACCAGUGGCGAAGGCGGCAUCCUGGACCGGCAUUGACGCUGAGGCGCGAAAGCCAGGGGAGCAAACGGG
rnacentral:rRNA from 1 species